UGUACAGUUACACCACGUAUAGAGAGAAACCAGGGUGAACUACUGUAUUUUCUUUAUCUUGUUACCUAAAGGAUCAUUUAUAUUUGAUAUUUAUUUUUUUCUAUCUUCAUUUCCAUAGAUUGGUUGAAUUGUUUAAUUGAGGCCAUUAUCUCUGUAGGAGUAGAAGCAAAUUUGUUAUCUGAAUGAUUAGGAUUGCUUUCAUUGAACUUUUCACCUAUGCAAUUGUUGUUGUAAAUGUGAGUUGAGCUUUGGAAUAUUGGUGCAAUUGUAUAAGCUGUACCCAGUUCCAAUUUUCAUUUAGGAAGAACUGAUCUGUCAGUUUAUGAAAGACAGCAAAACAAGAGACUUAAAAGCAUUUAAGUCCCAAUGCAUUUGUUAUGGGUAGCAUAAGUUACCCUUAAUGCCAUACCUUUCUCUUUACACACCUCCCAGAUGUCUGACAUAUUUGUCUUGUUCUGCUUGUGUUUGACACCUAACACUUUUGAAUCUUUUAAAGUGCUUCUUUCCUCCCCCGAUGUCUGUGGAUUGGAACCACAUUCAUUUUCAUUUGGCAAUACUUAUUUGUUAUUGUGGCUUUUCAAAGAGGAUUACAGCAGGUGGAAAUUCCCUAUAAAGAAGUUAAGAUUCAAAGUCACACAUUCACAAUAAUACCUCCCUUAAGUUCAUUUUUUAAUUUGAUGCUGCUUACAAAGGAAGAUAUGUGAUUUGUGGAAAAUAAUUAUCUUGAGUGCUGUCAAGUAUAAUGACGUUUGCUAGCGUACAGGUGAAAUGUCUCCCCUCUGACUCACUGAGCUAAAUUUUCAUCUUGAUGAUCACAGUCCUGUAACGGUAGAGCCGUUGGAAAAAACAUAAAAAGACAUAAAACACAAAGCAGCUCGAUGAUUUGGGGAAAUCACAAGGAAGGUCACAAAACAAGAAAACAUUUCUCAGAUUAGGAAAUUAAUCAAACUGAUAGUUAUAAAAGAAAGUAACAGCGAAAAAAGAAUAUUUCCCCCAGUCUGUGUGCCCUUGAAAUGUAUCGUGAGUGAGGUAAACGUAAUCAAAAUGUUCUUAAACUUUGACAAAGACAAUAUGUUAGGUUGAAUCCAGAAUCAGCCAGAACCAGUUAGAUCAUACGGUAAAUAACACAUACAUGCACACACACCUAUGUACAGUAACUGCCCCUUGGUGCUCUCUCUGUCUGCCCUCUCCUUAAGUAUGUUAAGAUAAAGAUCCCAACUUCUCCAGGGUUCAGUUUCCUGUCUAAGGCCAUGGCAAUGGCAGCUGAUGAUGGACCUUCAAGGCCAAGCUGAAGUGGAGAUGAAAUCAUUGAUGACCGUUUUCAUCCAGUGUUGUACAUUUAGAAGCAUGGGUAAGGUAUACACAGAGGAUACUG